rnacentral:rRNA from 1 species
AGAUUGAACGCUGGCGGCAGGCCUAACACAUGCAAGUCGAGCGGUAGAGAGGUGCUUGCACCUCUUGAGAGCGGCGGACGGGUGAGUAAUGCCUAGGAAUCUGCCUAGUGGUGGGGGAUAACGUUCGGAAACGGACGCUAAUACCGCAUACGUCCUACGGGAGAAAGCGGGGGACCUUCGGGCCUCGCGCCAUUAGAUGAGCCUAGGUCGGAUUAGCUAGUUGGUGAGGUAAUGGCUCACCAAGGCGACGAUCCGUAACUGGUCUGAGAGGAUGAUCAGUCACACUGGAACUGAGACACGGUCCAGACUCCUACGGGAGGCAGCAGUGGGGAAUAUUGGACAAUGGGCGAAAGCCUGAUCCAGCCAUGCCGCGUGUGUGAAGAAGGUCUUCGGAUUGUAAAGCACUUUAAGUGGAGAAGGUUGUAACUUAAUACGUUGCAACUUUGACGUUACCGACAGAAUAAGCACCGGCUAACUUCGUGCCAGCAGCCG